ACGCUGACGGACAACCAACUCGACGGACGAAAAUAUAUAAUAGUGAAAACUACCGGCAAUGUGGUAUGACCAUAAUAAUGUACACUAUUAUGUACGUUUGGUGAGAACGUGGCGUGGGUUGGGUUGGGUUAUGUGUUAAGAAUCUUGUUUACAGUUUUAAAAAUGAGUGUCAAUACAAAACACUAUAUUAUCUUCAAAAACUUCAUCGGUCGGUGGUCGGUAACGUCGCGUUGUCUCCGUCGUUUGUCGAUCAAAAUUAAGGUGGGUAACCAAUAUUUAUUCUCUAAGAUAAAAAAAAAUGAAGGAGCGGUAAAGAUUGCAAAUGUUUAAAUAUACUUAAAACUAAUAAUUGAUGAUUCUAUCAUUAAUAUUGUGUAACCUAUUCAUUUGUUGUUUUGUUUUUAUGUUUAUUAAUGUACUUUAAACGUUAUUUUGAACAAGCCUUCUAUUUAUUCAAUUGUCUAUGGUCGUAAGUACCUUCUUCAAAUGAGUUCUUAUAUUGUGUGGUAAUAUGGCUUUAUUUAAUUUAACGGUAAUAUAAUUUGUUAUUGUUUGUUUUAAUUAAGCGCCCUGUAAGGUGAGUAUGACUCACCUUACACCUUUUUGUUGUUAAUAAAUGGUUUUAAUUUUUUU